UACGUAGGGUCCGAGCGUUGUCCGGAGUUACUGGGCGUAAAGGGCGCGCAGGCGGCGGUGCUGGCCCGGCGUGAAAGCCCCCGGCUCAACCGGGGAGGGUCGUCGGGGACCGCACCGCUUGAGGGCGGUAGGGGCUGGUGGAAUGCCUGGUGUAGUGGUGAAAUGCGUAGAGAUCAGGCAGAACACCCGUGGCGAAGGCGGCCAGCUGGGCCGUCCCUGACGCUGAGGCGCGAAGGCGUGGGGAGCGAACGGG
rnacentral:rRNA from 1 species